rnacentral:rRNA from 1 species
CAGCAGCCACGGUAAUACGUAGGGUGCAAGCGUUAAUCGGAAUUACUGGGCGUAAAGCGUGCGCAGGCGGUUAUAUAAGACAGAUGUGAAAUCCCCGGGCUCAACCUGGGAACUGCAUUUGUGACUGUAUAGCUAGAGUACGGCAGAGGGGGAUGGAAUUCCGCGUGUAGCAGUGAAAUGCGUAGAUAUGCGGAGGAACACCGAUGGGGAAGGCAAUCCCCUGGGCCUGUACUGACGCUCAUGCACGAAAGCGUGGGGAGCAAACAGGAUUAGAUACCCGGGUAGUCCCUGUCUCUUAUAC